rnacentral:misc_RNA from 1 species
UACGUAGGUGGCAAGCGUUGUCCGGAAUUAUUGGGCGUAAAGCGCGCGCAGGCGGUCUUUUAAGUCUGAUGUGAAAGCCCACGGCUCAACCGUGGAGGGUCAUUGGAUACUGGAAGUCUUGAGUGCAGAAGAGAAGAGCGGAAUUCCACGUGUAGCAGUGAAAUGCGUAGAUAUGUGGAGGAACACCAGUGGCGAAGGCAGCUUUUUGGUCUGUAACUGACGCUGAGGCGCGAAAGCGUGGGGAGCAAACAGG